CCGAAAGGCGUAGUCGAUGGGAAACAGGUUAAUAUUCCUGUACUUGGUGUUACUGCGAAGGGGGGACGGAGAAGGCUAUGUUAGCCGGGCGACGGUUGUCCCGGUUUAAGCAUGUAGGCUGAUUGUCCAGGCAAAUCCGGAUAAUCAAGGCUGAGGUGUGAUGACGAGGCACUACGGUGCUGAAGUAACAAAUGCCCUGCUUCCAGGAAAAGCCUCUAAGCAUCAGGUAACAUUAAAUCGUACCCCAAACCGACACAGGUGGUCAGGUAGAGAAUACCAAGGCGCUUGAGAGAACUCGGGUGAAGGAACUAGGCAAAAUGGUGCCGUAACUUCGGGAGAAGGCACGCUGGUGUGUAGGUGAAGUCCCUGCGGAUGGAGCUGAGACCAGUCGAAGAUACCAGCUGGCUGCAACUGUUUAUUAAAAACACAGCACUGUGCAAACACGAAAGUGGACGUAUACGGUGUGACGCCUG
rnacentral:rRNA from 1 species